GAUGAACGCUGGCGGCGUGCCUAAUACAUGCAAGUCGAGCGAAGCGGGGACGGGUGCGUAACACGUAGUUAAACUCCUAUACGAAUGGGAUAACGUCGGAAAACCGGAGCUAAACCGGCUACUUAUAGAUGGCUCCUGGGUGCAUUAGCUGGUGGUUAAGGUAACGGCUUACCAAGGCCACGAUGCAUAGCCGACCUGAGAGGGUGAUCGGCCACACUGGAACUGAGACACGGUCCAGACUCCUACGGGAGGCAGCAGUAGGGAAUCGUCCGCAAUGGGCGAAAGCCUGACGGAGCAACGCCGCGUGAGUGAAGAAGGUCUUCGGAUCGUAAAACUCUGUUGUUAGGGAAGCGGUACCUAAGCAGAAAGCCACGGCUAACUACGUGCCAGCCGCCGCGGUAAUAC
rnacentral:rRNA from 1 species